GUGGGGAAUAUUGGACAAUGGGGGCAACCCUGAUCCAGCAAUGCCGCGUGAGUGAUGAAGGCCUUCGGGUUGUAAAGCUCUUUUGCCAGGGACGAUGAUGACGGUACCUGGAGAAUAAGCCCCGGCUAACUUCGUGCCAGCAGCCGCGGUAAUACGAAGGGGGCAAGCGUUGUUCGGAAUUACUGGGCGUAAAGGGCGCGUAGGCGGCUUAUCAAGUCAGGCGUGAAAUUCCCGGGCUCAACCUGGGGGCUGCGCUUGAUACUGAUGAGCUUGAAUGCGGGAGAGGAUAGUGGAAUUCCCAGUGUAGAGGUGAAAUUCGUAGAUAUUGGGAAGAACACCGGUGGCGAAGGCGGCUAUCUGGCCCGUAAUUGACGCUGAGGCGCGAAAGCGUGGGGAGCAAA
rnacentral:rRNA from 1 species